rnacentral:rRNA from 1 species
AGUACGUGAACUGCUUAGAGGUUAAACACGAUGAACCUAAAUAUCCAGUAUGAGAAAGUUUAUAUUAUGAGUAUAUUAUUUUAUAAUGUAUUAAUAGUGUGCAUUUUUUUCAUAAAAAGGACAUUGUAAUCUGUUAAUACAAUUUAUAUAUUCUUUUAUAUAUUAUUUUUAUCAUAAAGAGUCAUGUAUAAGUUUACAUAUAAAUUAAUUAAUUUAUUAAUUAAUUGAUGUAAGAUCGAUGAAUUUCUAGAUAAAUAGUUAACAGUAUUAAAAUAUAUAAUGCUUACAUAAUUUUUUAUGUUUUAUAUAUAAUAUGUACAUGUACAUAUAUAUGUUUUUGCAUUUAUAUUAUAACAAUGCUAUAGAUUAGAUCUUCGAUUGC